rnacentral:rRNA from 1 species
UCUUCAUCACCGAAUACAAAUCGACCUUCAACGCGCGCUUCAGUUGCUCCUGGACGAACCAUUCCCGCAUCGGCUCGACCGCCCACCAAGAGGUUGAUUGCUUCAACAAUCAUGGUCUUGCCAGCGCCAGUUUCGCCGGUGAGGGCUACUAGUCCUUCCGACAAUUGCAAGUCGAGUGUGUCGAUCACUCCAAGAUUUUCAAUAUGUAGCUCGGUGAGCACUAUUCGUCUCCCAAACCAAACUUCGCUCGCACGAUUUGGUGAAACUUAGGUUCUUUAAACAAACGAAUGAAUAUCGCCUGACAGGUAUCUGGCGCGUACACCACUAAGUCGUCUUGCGUAAGGCUUGCUACCCCACGACCAUCAAUCGCUAAAUCAACUGGACGAGUUCCCACAACUUUGAUGUGUACUGACUCAUGUGGGUCGAGGACGAGUGAACGAUCAAACAACAUAUGAGGAGACACCGGUGUGAUGAGCAACGCCCGAUGACGCGGUGACACCACAGGACCACGCGCGCUCAUGGAAUACGCCGUACUUCCCGUUGGCGUAGACACGAUGAGCCCGUCUGCCGAAUAGCGUGCGAAAUCUUGGCCAUUGAUGACCAAGUCCAACCAAAUGGUGUGACCCGAUUGAUGCUUUUCAAGCACCGCCUCGUUCAAAGCGCGAUAUGAAACCGAUGCUGAACGAUCGGCCUUGUGCAGGGUGACACUCAGCAUCAUGCGUGCGUCAAUGACAUAGUCCGUUCCAGACACGCCGGAUUCCCACUUGUUCAAUGCAUCAAUCAAUUCUUCAGGAUCAAUUUCGGUGAGGUAACCAAGCGUUCCUACGUUUACGCCAAGAAUUGGCACCGGAGCACCGUCAAGCAUGUGCACCGCGCGCAGCACUGUUCCAUCGCCACCAAGGCUGACCACCAGGUCGGCAUCCAUUGCAUGACGUGGAUUCGCAAGUUCUGGACUACUUAGUGCUUGCGCAUCAAAGUCAUUCAUCCACAAUUCGUGGCCCCGACUUGUUGUCCACUGUCGAAGAUCUGACAGCAAUUCAGGUAUCUCGGCACGUGAAUGAUGCGCGACAACAAAAAUGUUCGCCAUUACCUACCCGAUUCCCAUAUGAUCACGCCUCAAACCUAUACCAGACCAAAUAUUCAACAUUGCCCUCUGCACCGUGAAUCGGCGAUUCGAUGCACCCGCGCACCACCCACCCUUGCUCGGCAAAGGACUCAUUCACUUCCCCGACAACUCGGUCGCGGAUUGCUUGGUCGGCGAUUACCCCUUGGCUCUUAUCCACCUCAAGCUUGGUGGCCUCAAAUUGGGGUUUCACCAACACCACUAGAUUUCCCGACCGUGACAGACGAGCCGUGAGCGCACGACUGACGGAUUUCAAUGAAAUAAACGACAGAUCGACAACCGCCAGAUCGAACUCGCUGCGCAAUGGAAUCGGCAAAUCUUGAGUGUCAUCAGCAAGCUGUCGCACAUUGAAUGUAUCGAUGACGACGACGCGAUUAUUUGUUGCAACUCG